UGCUUGUCUUCUCGCCAGUGCACCACCACCACCACCGUGUCUCCGACGAUUCCGGUGGCUAAUACCCUAAUCAAAACGCCGGCCACCCUCCUCCCAUUUGGUCCCUCUCCAUUUUCCCCUCACAUCUACCACUUAUAUACUCGAGGUUGUUUUUCUCCUGUGUUAAUAUGUCUUGCUCUGAUCUUUAAGGGAUUUCUUCCAGCUUUUUGUAAAAUUACAACAACCAGAAUCCAAAAACGCAAGAUUCACAAAAUCAAACUGCACAAGAAAUCAUCAAAUUUCACUAAACCUAGAAAGCAUUCGAUUAAUGGGUUUCGCCGUUUUACCUCAAGAAUUCCAAAUCGUGUAGAAGGAUUUAAAGUUGGAGCGAUUUUGAGAGCCAUGAGCUUUAAAUGGUAUAUCAAAUUUGUCGUUAAGGCAACAAAAAUUUGCAUAAUUAGCUGCGGUUAGAGCUACACGAGCUUAGAUGCAAGCAGUUGCGGUAUAAUUUGUUCGGGUUUCGAGUAAGGGCGCGUCUCUUUAUGUUAUCCCUUUAAUGUUUAUGAUGUACCUGCGCCACAACACGUGCGAGUCUAAUUACUAGUAUAUAUUUAAGUAUCAUUGGUAAAAUAUGUAGUUUAGCCACUUAUGCAUGUAUCAUCAGAUACACUUAUAUGAAAUGUAAUUAAAUUACAAUAAUAGUAACUCUACUAAGAACUGGUUAUUUAAGUCAAAUUGGCUCAGUUGACAAAUUUAGUAAUUUUAGUUAAUCAAUUUAAACACCCGU
rnacentral:lncRNA from 1 species